UGGGGAAUUUUGGACAAUGGGCGCAAGCCUGAUCCAGCCAUGCCGCGUGCGGGAAGAAGGCCUUCGGGUUGUAAACCGCUUUUGUCAGGGAAGAAAUCUUCUGAGUUAAUACCUCGGGAGGAUGACGGUACCUGAAGAAUAAGCACCGGCUAACUACGUGCCAGCAGCCACGGUAAUACGUAGGGUGCAAGCGUUAAUCGGAAUUACUGGGCGUAAAGCGUGCGCAGGCGGUUUUGUAAGACAGGGGUUGAAAUCCCCGGGCUCAACCUGGGAACUGCCUUUGUGACUGCAAGGCUUGAGUGCGGCAGAGGGGGAUGGAAUUCCGCGUGUAGCAGUGAAAUGCGUAGAUAUGCGGAGGAACACCGAUGGCGAAGGCAAUCCCCUGGGCCUGCACUGACGCUCAUGCACGAAAGCGUGGGGAGCAAACAGGAUUAGAUACCCUGGUAGUCCACGCCCUAAACGAUGUCAACUGGUUGUUGGGAAGGUUCCUUCUCAGUAACGUAGCUAACGCGUGAAGUUGACCGCCUGGGGAGUACGGCCGCAAGGUUGAAACUUAAAUGAAUUGACGGGGUCAUAGCUGUUUCCUG
rnacentral:rRNA from 1 species